rnacentral:rRNA from 1 species
UACGUAGGGUGCAAGCGUUAAUCGGAAUUACUGGGCGUAAAGCGUGCGCAGGCGGUGAUGUAAGACAGAUGUGAAAUCCCCGGGCUUAACCUGGGAACUGCAUUUGUGACUGCAAGGCUGGAGUGCGGCAGAGGGGGAUGGAAUUCCGCGUGUAGCAGUGAAAUGCGUAGAUAUGCGGAAGAACACCGGUGGCGAAGGCGGUGGUCUGGGCCUGAACUGACGCUGAGGAGCGAAAGCCAGGGGAGCAAACGGG